rnacentral:rRNA from 1 species
AACGAACGCUGGCGGCAUGCCUAACACAUGCAAGUCGAACGAGACCUUCGGGUCUAGUGGCGCACGGGUGCGUAACGCGUGGGAACCUGCCCUUAGGUUCGGAAUAACUCCCCGAAAGGGGUGCUAAUACCGGAUAAUGUCUUCGGACCAAAGAUUUAUCGCCUUUGGAUGGGCCCGCGUUGGAUUAGCUAGUUGGUAGGGUAAAAGCCUACCAAGGCGACGAUCCAUAGCUGGUCUGAGAGGAUGAUCAGCCACACUGGGACUGAGACACGGCCCAGACUACUACGGGAGGCAGCAGUGGGGAAUAUUGGACAAUGGGCGAAAGCCUGAUCAAGCAAUGACGCGUGAGUGAUGAAGGCCUUAGGGUUGUAAAGCUCUUUUACCCGGGAUGAUAAUGACAGUACCGGGAGAAUAAGCUCCGGCUAACUCCGUG